UUAAGCAUAUCACUAAGCGGAGGAAAAGAAACUAACAAGGAUUCCCUUAGUAACGGCGAGUGAACAGGGAUAAGCCCAGCACCGAAGCCUGUGGUUAUUUGAUCAUUAGGCAAUGUGGUGUUCAGGUCGUUCCGCAGAGGCACUGCUCCAUUCUAAGUCCAGCAAUGAGUACGGUAUUGCAGACAUGGCCCAAAGAGGGUGAAAGGCCCGUAAGAGUGGAGUUGCAGAAAUGCCAGUGCUUUUCUGGAUAGACCUUGGAGUCGGGUUGUUUGUGAAUGCAGCCCAAAGUGGGUGGUAAACUCCAUCCAAGGCUAAAUACUUGCACGAGUCCGAUAGCGAACAAGUACCGUGAGGGAAAGUUGAAAAGUACUUUGAAGAGAGAGUAAACAGUGCGUGAAACCGCUCAGAGGUAAACGGGUGGAGUUGAACUGGAAACCUUGGGAAUUCAGCUGGUGAACGUGGUUUGAGCUUGGUCAAGCUGGUUGAACUCUGGGGUCUGUGUAGUAGCAGGUCUGUACCUUCGGGUAUGGAUGCGCGAUGCACUUAUCAAGUGUUGUGCGCCCUGGAUGUGUUCGAGCCUGUUCGCCGGUGCAUUUUCUCUUGGUGUUCACCACGACCGGCAUUGUUGCCUGGCUGUUGUGGUUAAACCGGUCUUGCUUUGUCCUUGUGGCUUUGCUUGAUCGGGAUGGCAGGUAGCUCGUGGCUGGUCUGGGGAAACCUGGACAUUGGUCUUCGGGUGUAAUCAGCUGACCAUGAUGGUUCUGUGCGAUGUGUCGGAGACGGCGGCUUGUUGUGUGAGCGCGCGUGCCUAGCUGGCUGGGUUGUUCGGGUUUGGUUGCUGUGUUGCUUGUUCUGCAGGCCCGGCGAUAGCCUGGAUGUGCCCGGUAGGCGGUGGCGUGUGUGACACUAUACAGGGCCUAUAGUCUGUGGUGUUGCGGUAGACUAUCCACCUGACCCGUCUUGAAACACGGACCAAGGAGAGUAACAUGUGUGCGAGUCAUUGGGCGUAACGAAACCCACAGGCGCAGUGAAAGUAAAGGUCUGGCUUGUCCGGACUGAGGUGAGAUCCUGUCGUGUCUUACGCGCGGUACCACCAAGCAUUGAACGUCAGGCGCAUCACCGGCCCGUCCCAUGACGUAGUCAUUUCUGGUGCAUCGUCGGGGCGGAGCAUGAGCAUACAUGUUGAGACCCGAAAGAUGGUGAACUAUGCUUGCGCAGGUUGAAGCCAGAGGAAACUCUGGUGGAGGACCGUAGCGAUUCUGACGUGCAAAUCGAUCGUCAAACGUGAGUAUAGGGGCGAAAGACUAAUCGAACCAUCUAGUAGCUGGUUCCCUCC
rnacentral:rRNA from 1 species